UCCGGUUUACUUGGUUGUUAAUCUUAUUUGUAAGUUGGUCUAAAUAUCAAGAUGAGAUUCGUGGAUAUGAUCAAGAUGAGAUUCGUGAAUACGUCUCUUUAUAUGAGAUUUGCUGUAAUUUUUUCCGCUUUGGCAUUUAUAUUCCAUGUGAUAGGAACCGCUGCAAAUACCUGGAUUACUAUAGAUUCUCUUUCAUUCAAAAGUGGGCUGUGGACUCACAGUGGGCCUUCGUUCGAUGCUAAAAAGGAGGGUGAUAUAUAUCGAGCUCCUCGAGGUGUGGCUGUUUGCGGCAUAGUAUUGGGAUUUGUUGCUACGCUUUUCAUUUCAAUUGCUGUCACCACUUUCAACCAAAAAGUUUUGAGAAGAGUGUCAAUCAUGGCAAGUUUUUCAGCGGGUACACUCAUAUUACUCAGUGGACAGGCCAUGUUAUCCAGUUUUGAUAAAUGGUACCCGACCUUUGAAAUAAAAAGUGGCUAUUCGUUGGGCUUGUCGGUAACUGGUGGUGUUUUCUACAUUGUAAGCGGUGUACUCAUAUUGGUGGAUAUGACUCUGCAAACGUCAUCUGAAAAUGACAAGCUACAGACAACUUCAUCUGCAACUGGUUUGGGGCAGACACGAUACAUUAACCAUGCGGAACAAGGAACUUCAUCUACAGCUGAUGUGGGGCAGACACGAUACAUUAACCAUGCGGAACAAGGAACUUCAUACGCAACUAAUAUGUAAAGGCAACUUCAUCUGUAAAUUAUUUUUUUAAACAAUAUUUUAUAACCUAAUAAAGCAAUGAUUUUUUUACACACUAUGUAUAUAGAGAGAUACAAUAAUAAUCUUUGCUGCUUAUGUAAAAUAGUUUCCAUAAAAUUAUAUGUAAAGGCAACUUGACCUGCAAAUUUUAUGUAAAAACCAAGUUCAUCUGCAAAUGACGAACAAAAACAAGCUCCGUAAUAAAUAUUAGAGAUGUUUUUUUUUUAAAUUUCGGCAUUUGAUAAUACAUAUUUGUUUUCGAUUAUACAGAUUUGAACCUUUAAAUAUUUUUGUGUUUGCUUUUUUUCUAGAAACGUGUAGCAAGUUCAUUAAAUUGAAAUUUCCAAAAUAAUUAAUUGUUUGUAUUGUCGAUCACAACAGUGGGCGUAAAUAUUAAAAUGUAAAUAAUCAACAAAGUUUUUUAUGGCUAAUUUUUUUGUGGUUUGUUUGUUUUGUGCCCAUUAAACAUGAUUAAAUAAAAUGGCAUGUUGUUAUUCCAA